AACGAACGCUGGCGGCAGGCUUAACACAUGCAAGUCGAGCGAGACCUUCGGGUCUAGCGGCGGACGGGUGAGUAACGCGUGGGAACGUGCCCUUCUCUACGGAAUAGCCCCGGGAAACUGGGAGUAAUACCGUAUACGCCCUUUGGGGGAAAGAUUUAUCGGAGAAGGAUCGGCCCGCGUUGGAUUAGGUAGUUGGUGGGGUAAUGGCCCACCAAGCCGACGAUCCAUAGCUGGUUUGAGAGGAUGAUCAGCCACACUGGGACUGAGACACGGCCCAGACUCCUACGGGAAGCAGCAGUGGGGAAUCUUAGACAAUGGGGGCAACCCUGAUCUAGCCAUGCCGCGUGAGUGAUGAAGGCCUUAGGGUUGUAAAGCUCUUUCAGCCGGGAAGAUAAUGACGGUACCAGCAGAAGAAGCCCCGGCUAACUCCGUG
rnacentral:rRNA from 1 species